CCCUUAGAUGUUCUGGGAUGCACGCGCGUUACACUGAUUCGUUCAACGAGUUUAUGACCUUGCCUGAUGAGGUGGGGGAAUCUUUUCAAAUCGCAUCGUGAUGGGGAUAGAGUAUUGUAACUGUUAGUCUUCAACGAGGAAUUCCUAGUAAGUACGUGUCAUCAGCUCGUACUGAUUAUGUCCCUGCCCUUUGUACACACCGCCCGUCGCUCCUACCGAUUGAGUGCUCAGGUGAAUAGUAUGGACUGCAUCAGUGUUCGGUCUCCGAAUGUUGACGCGAGAAAUUCUGUGAAUCUUAUUGCUUAGAGGAAGGAGAANUCGUANCA
rnacentral:rRNA from 1 species